GGCAGGGCCGGCUCUUGCUAAAAACAAUUAAGUUAUAUAUUAGGCCUGUGCGAAAAUCGGAUCAAACCAUUAACCCGAACCAAUUUUUGGUUUAUUGGGCUAACAGUUCGGGUUAUUGGGUAAUUGGUUCGGGGCUCGAUUCAGGAAUAUAGUUUAAUGCGUAAUCGGUUCGGGGAUCGGGUUGGGAAGCGAAAAACUCGGGCUACCCGAUACCCCAAUAAGACCUAUUAUUUUUAUUCCUAAAUUUUCUAAUUUUACAAUACUCACUUCUCACAUUAGGGACUAGGAUUUUAAAAUUUUGGGACUUAGGUUUAAAGCUAGUCGCCACUACUCUGAGACUCAGGCGACCUCCAAAUCAAAAAUUUUCAAACUCAAGUGACAAAUAUUCCAGUCUCUGGUCAGGCGGUCACUCAGGCGAGGUCCGAGGACACAAGGUGAACAAGCUCAAAUUUCAGAAGUUAGAAGCUCGUCUGCUCGAGACUUUGAGUCUUACUCCUUUCAGUUCCCACAACUUCUAUAAUCUGCACAAACUACUCGACAGUCGUCUCUCCAGUCUUAGAUUCUCAGUCGCUCACUGCUCACGCCUCACAAGUAAGUAAUUCACGGUUUGACACUUUGGCUCAUUUGUUUGUACUUUGUUGUCUUCUAGUCGCUGCUUUGUGUGAAGUUUGAACUGUGAUGUGUCUAUUGUCAAGUGUGUAAAAAUUUGAUACUACUUAGCCUAUUGUUUGUACUCUAUAGUUCUUUCUGUAAUGAAACUACUUGGUGUUUAUAUCUUUUUGCAGUUUUUGGUGAAAGUAGCACGGGUGAAAAUAUCAUAAUUGAUAAGGUUAUUGGUGAAAGUGGGGUUUCUAAUUCAAAUGCAAUAGAUCAAAGUCAAACUAUUGAGUCUAAAGUAAGGAAAAAAAAUCUCGUGCGUGGGAUGAUUAUACUCAUAAAACUGAUUCUGAUGGAAUUGAAAAAACUAUUUGUAACUAUUGUAAGAAAGAGUAUUUUGCUGACACAAAAGAACAUGGUACGACGUCAAUGCUUACUCAUAUAAACAAAUGCACAAAGAUGCCUUAUAAUAUUGAUAUUAAACAAUCAAGAUUAGCACUGCAACCAAUGAUAGGGGGUAACAAUGGUAAUGUAGUUGUUGUUCCAUGGAAAUUUGAUUAGGAAGAGUGUAGAAAGGCCUUAUGUCGUAUGAUAAUUAUUGAUGAGCUUUCUUUCAGAUUUUUUCAAAAAGAAGGUUAUAAAAAUUUUAUAUAAGUAAAACAACCUUGUUUCCACAUUCCUUCCCGUACCAGUGUGACUCGUGACUGUUUUGAUCUUUUUGAUGAAGAAAAACGUAAGUUGAUGGCUGUUUUUAAUGAAACACAACAAAGGGUGUCUUUAACCACUGAUACUUGGACUUCCAUACAAAAAUUCAAUUAUAUGGUCAUUACUGCUCAUUGGAUUGAUGAAAAUUGGACUUUGCAUAAAAGAAUUAUCAACUUUUGUCCAAUUACUAGUCAUAGAGGUGAAGAUCUUGGAAAGUCUAUUAGUAAGUGCUUACAUGAGUGGGGAUUGCAUCGAAUUUUCACUGUUACAGUUGAUAAUGCUGGUUCAAAUGGUGUGGUAAUAACUGAGGUGUCUAUGCAAUUAACUAAAUGGGGGACCAACCUAAUGGGUGGUAGUCACUUCAUAUAAGGUGUAUGGCUCAUAUUGUAAAUCUUAUUGUUCAAGAUGGUACAAAAGAAGCAAAUGUGUCUAUUGAACGAGUUAGGCAAGUAGUGAGAUACAUCAAACAAUCUCCUGCUAGGUGGAAAAAGUUUCAAGAAUGUUGUGAAGAUGAAAAUCUUGCUAAAAAGUCUGCUUGGAUAUUCCUACUAGGUGGAAUUCCACCUACAAGAUGUUGAGCAGGGUUAUUGAAUAUGAAGGGGCGAUUGUAGAGUACGCCGAUCGUGAUAUUGGCUUGGCACUAUAUCUUAAUUGUUGAUAAAAAUUCUACAGGUACACUUUUGAGUACUGAUUGGAGGGCGUAAAGAGAAUUACAAAUUUCUUGAAAUGUUUUUUAAUCUUACUUUGAAUCACGAUAUGUUACAUCAAAUCUUCAUUUUCUUGAAAUUUGUCAAGUUGGUGUUUACUUGAAUCAAUUGAUAUCAAAUGAAGAUCAAGUUUUGGCUAAAAUGGCAGAAAAUAUGAAGGAGAAAUUUGACAAAUAUUGGGGUGAUGCUGAAAAAAUGAAUAAGAUGAUCUUCAUACCAUGUGUUUUGGAUCCUCGUCACAAAUUUAGCACUCUUGGCUUUGCACUUAAGAAGAUGUUUGGAGAAAAAAGGGCUGCUAUAGAAAAUGGUGUACGAACGUACAUGGAAGCUUUGUUUAAUGAGUAUACAAAGCCCAUUUCAAAUGAUAAAAGUGGCCAAUUUUCUUCAAGUGAGGUGGAUACUUCUAUUUCAAGUUCUGUAGGAGAAUUUGGAAAUUUUUUUGAGGAAUUACAUAAACAUAAAUCUGAACAGGGAGGAGCAAGUUCAAAGUCAGAAUUAGUUAAAUCUCUUGAUGAAGAAACUGAAAUUGAAAAAUCAGAUUUUGAUGUAUUGCUUUGGUUGAAAGUUAACUCACCUAGAUUUCCAUUUCUUUCUGGGGUGGCUCGAGAUGUGUUGGCUAUUCCCGUUUCAAGUGUGGCAUCUGAAUGUGCUUUUAGUACUGGAGGGCACAUACUUGAUUCAUUUAGGAGUUCAUUAACUCCUACAUUGGUACAACUCUAGUGUGCCUUCAAGAUUGACUUCGGAGUGAGUCACAACCCAUAAGUAUUGAGGAAGAUUUAGAUUUUCUUGAUCAACUUGAAGAAGAUUUUGCUAAACUUGCAAAAGAACUUUGCAUUGAUGACAUGUAAAAUUGGAGGAAGGAAGAUUCCAUCAUGUCUCGACUUCAUGGUUCUAAUGCUCGAUCACCUGUUUGGAAUCAGUACGAAAAAUUUGAAGAAAAUGAAGAUGGAUCGUGGACAGUAAAAUGUAUUCAUUGUGGCUGUGCUUAUUACCAUUCACGCAAUACUGAGACUGCCUCCUUAAGAAGGCAUGUUAAGAAUUGUUUGGAAAACAGGAACCAAAAUCGGCAACUCUAAAGGAUCGAUGCCUAGUUAUUAUUUUGUUUACUUGAACAUGAACUAUUAGAACUAUGUUUAGACUCAAUUUUCAGAUUGUGUGACUGCUAUUUUGAAUUUUGUAAACUUUGUUUGCGCCUGUGUGGGUUGUGGCAGAUUGAUUAUGUUAGACAAUUUGAAGUUGUGCUGCAUUUUGAUUUAUGAGUUCUGGCUUCUGAAAUGUUGUAGCCUGCAGGCUUGCAACUUGUGCCUUGUAGUGUUGCUAUUUUAUUCCAUUAUUUUCUUAUGAUAUUUCAUAUUUGUGUUGA